rnacentral:lncRNA from 1 species
GGCCAUGCUCAUAGCCUCUAUAGUGACCUCGGCCCCUACCAUAGCCCUGAUCAUUUGAGUUUCUAUUAUCCUUUGGGCUUUCCUGUACUUCUUUAAUGAGAGCUUCAUUUGAAGAGCACAUUCUACUGCUUCCUGCUUCUUGUUAAUGCGAUGCUCAUGGGCAUGCAAUGAUCCCAUAAGCUCAUCCACCAAUAUCUUCUCUAGAUCUUUUGAUUCUUCAAUAGCUGCAAUAAUAUAAUCAAAUUUA